rnacentral:rRNA from 1 species
UACAGAGGGGGCAAGCGUUGUUCGGAAUUACUGGGCGUAAAGGGCGCGUAGGCGGCCUUCUAAGUCGAACGUGAAAUCCCCGGGCUCAACCCGGGAACUGCGUCCGAUACUGGAAGGCUUGAAUCCGGGAGAGGGAUGCGGAAUUCCAGGUGUAGCGGUGAAAUGCGUAGGAUAUCUGGAGGAACACCGGUGGCGAAGGCGGCAUCCGUGGCCCUGUACU